GCAGGCUGCAACUCGCCUGCAUGAAGUUGGAAUUGCUAGUAAUCGCGAAUCAGAAUGUCGCGGUGAAUACGUUCCCGGGCCUUGUACACACCGCCCGUCACACCAUGAGAGUCGAUAACACCCGAAGCCUGUGAGCUAACCGCAAGGAGGCAGCAGUCGAAGGUGGGGUUGAUGAUUGGGGUGAAGUCGUAACAAGGUAUC
rnacentral:rRNA from 1 species